CUGACCUGCAUUCGAUACGGUCUAGCUAGAGUGUGGUAGGGGAGACUGGAAUUCCUGGUGUAGCGGUGGAAUGCGCAGAUAUCAGGAGGAACACCGAUGGCGAAGGCAGGUCUCUGGGCCAUUACUGACACUGAGGAGCGAAAGCGUGGGGAGCGAACAGGAUUAGAUACCCUGGUAGUCCACGCCGUAAACGGUGGGCGCUAGUUGUGCGAACCUUCCACGGUUUGUGCGACGCAGCUAACGCAUUAAGCGCCCCGCCUGGGGAGUACGAUCGCAAGAUUAAAACUCAAAGGAAUUGACGGGGCCCCGCACAAGCAGCGGAGCAUGCGGCUUAAUUCGACGCAACGCGAAGAACCUUACCAAGGCUUGACAUAUACAGGAAUACGGCAGAGAUGUCGUAGCCGCAAGGUCUGUAUACAGGUGGUGCAUGGUUGUCGUCAGCUCGUGUCGUGAGAUGUUGGGUUAAGUCCCGCAACGAGCGCAACCCUCGUUCUGUGUUGCCAGCAUUUAGUUGGGGACUCACAGGAGACUGCCGGGGUUAACUCGGAGGAAGGUGGGGAUGACGUCAAAUCAUCAUGCCCCUUAUGUCUUGGGCUGCACGCAUGCUACAAUGGCUGGUACAAACGGCUGCAAUACCGCAAGGUGGAGCGAAUCCGAGAAAGCCAGUCUCAGUUCGGAUUGGGGUCUGCAACUCGACCCCAUGAAGUCGGAGCUGCUAGUAAUCGUAGAUCAGCAACGCUACGGUGAAUACGUUCCCGGGGCUUGUACACACCGCCCGUCACGUCACGAAAGUCGGUAACACCCAAAGUCAGUGGCCCAACCGUAAGGA
rnacentral:rRNA from 1 species